AUUUAUCAAAUAUAAGGUCAGCUUUGGUUACAUCGAACGAGAACGUUCUAGCCUUUAUGUUUCCAUCUUUCAUGGGCUCAUCUUUGCCCGAUGGUCUAGGCUUAGCCAUUAUAGGACAAGUAUACGUGUCUCCUUUGACCAAUUCGGCCAAACACAUUUCGGCUUGAUCGUAUGACUCGUCGCUGAUGGUAUGAACGUCAAAAUUU
rnacentral:lncRNA from 1 species